GUGCCUACGACAUCUAGUACUUUUCAUCUUCAUGCGAGAGAUAGUGUGUGCCAGCGGCAAGCUUAUGUCUAUGGCAUCUUGUACUCUCGAUAGUAUUCUGAGGGUCUGAUUAGUUAUCCAUCAGAAGGUUCUCUCAAAGAUCUCUCUCCGCUUCUCGUGCGACUUGAGCUCUGCAGGGAUCUAGUAAGUUAGUCUCAUCUCGAAGUCACCGAGGUCUUCUCAAAGAUCUGGUAAGUUAGCCCUCACGAUUGACGUUGUGUGCCUAUAGUGAUCUUGUAUCCACACAUCUAGCACUUUUCAUCUUCGCAUGAAAAGUAAUGUGUGCUAGUGGCGAGCUUAUGCCUAUGGCAUCUUACACUCUCAACGGUAUUCUAAGAGUCUGAUUAGUUAUUCCUCUAGAGGUUUCC
rnacentral:lncRNA from 1 species